rnacentral:rRNA from 1 species
AUAUUGCUGGUUCAACCUGCCCAAUGUGAUAAUCAAUGGCCGCGGUACUCUGACCGUGCUAAGGUAGCGUAAUCAGUUGGCUUUUAAAUGGAGUCGGGAAUGAAUGGGAUAACCUGGUCUGGCUGUCUUAGGGUUAUACCUUGAAUUUACUGUUUAAGUGAAAAAGCUUAAUUUUGAAAAAGGGACGAGAAGACCCUUAGAAUUUUGUCUAAAAAGAUGAUUCUUUGCGAUUUUGUUGGGGCGACAAAGAGAUACACGUAAACUCUCUUUUAACACAAUCCGAAAAUUUUAAUCAAGAAUAAAUUACCUGAGGGAUAACAGCAUAAUUCUAAAAAUGAGUUUGUGACCUCGAUGUUGGACUAGGAAACUAGCAGGCCAGCCGUUUGCUGUGUGGGUUCUGUUCGAACUUUAAUUCCU